rnacentral:rRNA from 1 species
ACGGCGGGUGCUAACGUCCGUCGUGAAGAGGGAAACAACCCAGACCGCCAGCUAAGGUCCCAAAGUCAUGGUUAAGUGGGAAACGAUGUGGGAAGGCCCAGACAGCCAGGAUGUUGGCUUAGAAGCAGCCAUCAUUUAAAGAAAGCGUAAUAGCUCACUGGUCGAGUCGGCCUGCGCGGAAGAUGUAACGGGGCUAAACCAUGCACCGAAGCUGCGGCAGCGACGCUUAUGCGUUGUUGGGUAGGGGAGCGUUCUGUAAGCCUGCGAAGGUGGCCUGUGAGGGUUGCUGGAGGUAUCAGAAGUGCGAAUGCUGACAUAAGUAACGAUAAAGCGGGUGAAAAGCCCGCUCGCCGGAAGACCAAGGGUUCCUGUCCAACGUUAAUCGGGGCAGGGUGAGUCGACCCCUAAGGCGAGGCCGAAAGGCGUAGUCGAUGGGAAACGGGUUAAUAUUCCCGU